AGAAGACAUCUAAUACUCAUUCCU
rnacentral:siRNA from 1 species